rnacentral:rRNA from 1 species
UUUAUUGGAACUGGAAUGAAAGGUUGAACAAAUAAUUAUAAUUUUAAAUAAUUUAUUUAAAUUUAUAUUCUAUGUAAAAAUACAUAGAUACAUAAAGGGACGAUAAGACCCUAGAAGCUUUAUUGGUAUAUUCUUAUUAUUGUUAAUAGUAUUAGAUAUAAGUUUUUUGGCUGGGGUAGUUGUUUUUGUAACAAAUAUUUUUAUUUACAUAUAGGAUGAAAGGUCCUUUAUAUAAGGGAAAAUAGUAAAAGUUACUUUAGGGAUAACAGCAUAAUAAUUAUGAAAAGAUCGUAUUUAUAUAAUUGAUUGUGACCUCGAUGUUGAAUUAAAAUUAUCUUUAUGGAGCAGAAAUUAUAUAAGAGAGUUUGUUCAACUUUUAAAUUUUUACAUGAUCUGAGUUCAAA